CUCAGUUGUAGAAUGUAUUGUACCUUUUAACACCUGAUGUGUACAUCCCAUGUAACAGAAAGGGCAACAAUAAAAUAGCAAUCCUAAAGCAAGAAUAUGGCAGAACAAGAUCUGUAAGCACAGUCUUAUUUUCUUUUGUUGUCCAGAAUACUUAUAAUUCUUGAGCCUCCCAGAAAUUGGAAGCUAAAUAAAGCAACUCAAGUUUCCUUUAUUUUGCACUCAAUUACAGUGAUUAUUGAUGAAAGCGAUGCAUGGAUAUUUUAAUACUUCCUACAUGUCCUGACUUCUGAAAGAGAGUAGGUAACAGGCAUCCCGAGUUCAGGAACUACCUCAGAACACCCCAGGCCAGGUUGGUCAUAGGCUGUGAUUUUAGCCCCCGGCAAGUGUGAGUGAAGCAUCUGUACCACCGCGCAGGCUGAGCGCCUGCGCAGGGUAAGGUGCCACCUGGCAGUGGGGCACACAGAGGGAAGACCAGGCCUGUCCAUCAGCCGGCUGCCUUCAGAGGCAGCUCCAGCAGGACCUUGGCUUGUCUGACAGGAAAUGCUUGUGGUCGUUGGUUAUUUGGUUUGAGAGCCCUUGUUCCUCCAUCUAGUGGAGUCCUUAUUAAAUGCUAGCAAUGUGGCAAUUGAGUGCCAGUA
rnacentral:lncRNA from 1 species